rnacentral:lncRNA from 1 species
CACGGACCAACGAGCGCCAAACGGACAUCGUUAAUUUGAACACGGACCAACGAGCGCCAAAUGGACAUCGUUAAUAUGAAGGAACAACGUACGCCUAGUCGUAUUGGUGGUAUUUUAAUUGCGUUUUUGCUUUUGUUCAGACAUCGUUAAGCACUAAUGCUUGUGCUGCUCGUAAAUCACUUACUUAUUGGUUGAACUGAAAUAUUGACGCCGCCGAAAUGACCCGCUGUCAGGAACAACACGAGGUUUUCAUGCUUUCAUACUUGGAUCGAAACAUGCCUGUAAGGCACAGAAUCAAAGAAUGAGCGAAGUCCAGGGCAGAAGAAGGGGAGAGAGUAACCUAUACCAGAGGGAACAAAAUACCACUGCAAUCUUUGCCAGUGACAGCCACGCUGCGGUCGCCCACCUUGCCCUCUAAAUGAGAUCCUAUUUACAAGAUCUCUCAGAGCUCCGGAAGUGCCAUCCAGAAAUAUUUCGGUAGGAAAAUAUAUCAAUAAUCACAAAAGUUAAAACUUGGAC